rnacentral:rRNA from 1 species
UACAGAGGUCUCAAGCGUUGUUCGGAUUCAUUGGGCGUAAAGGGUGCGUAGGUGGCGCCGUAAGUCAGGUGUGAAAUUUCGGAGCUUAACUCCGAAACUGCAUUUGAUACUGCGGUGCUUGAGGACUGGAGAGGAGACUGGAAUUCACGGUGUAGCAGUGAAAUGCGUAGAUAUCGUGAGGAAGACCAGUGGCGAAGGCGGGUCUCUGGACAGUUCCUGACACUGAGGCACGAAGGCCAGGGGAGCAAACAGG